GAUGGAAGGCGGUUAUAAUGGAUGGUGGUGUGUACAAGAUGGCACUGCCAUCUUUGAGCAGCGCCCAGCUCUGCAGCGCCACUUCAUCUUUUUAAACACCCUAGAGGUCUGUUUGUUGUUGCUGUUGUCCUUUAUUUUGAAAGAGUUGCAAGAGAAGUUACAGUCCAGGUGAACUUGGAGAUUUGGAAAUUAAAGAAAUUAAGGGUUUUAUAUAAUAGGCCCCACCUCUCAAAAUAUUUUUAGAAGUCUUUUUGUAAACUAAUUUCUUUUGAUCACUAUUUUGCAUCAGUAAAAUGAUUUUUUUAAAACCAAUAAAUCAUCAAUUAUUAGAAAUAGUUGUCUCACAGUGAUACUGGUUUUUCUUUUGUGCUGUUAUGAUUUAACAUUGACAGGAACACUUUUAAAUCCUUAUGUUCAGGUGUUUGUAACUUGGCCUUAUAAUUAGGCUGAAUUAUGGCUUCAAGGUCUAGAAUUUAUGUGUAUGAUUCACAGCCUAGCUUCUAUUUUCAUUUGAAAAUACAGAUUUUUACCAACUUUGGAUUCUUUUUUAGCUAUAUGUUUGUCUUUCCUUUUUAAAUUGUUCAAAAUAUUUUUUAAUGGUCAAGUUACUAACACUUGAAAAUCAGAUACUGCACCAAAUACAGUAUUUUUUCAUAGUGUUUUUAAUGAGUGCAUCUAUUAUUACUACUGUGCGAGAAUUCAUGUUACCAGUCAUUGUUAUAUUACAAACAGACUUGCAUGAUUAACCAGUUACACUUUUUUUUUUCAAAUUGGAGUAUAUAUGACUCAGUUCAGACUGGUCUCUCUUAUGUGAAUGCACACAUGCAGAAAUGCAGAGUCAAUUUUACAUGCCCAUAAAGACAUUUGUAAAGAAAUCAGCUAUUAUGAUCUGUUGUAUAAAUGUGUAUCUAGGCACUUUAUUAUAACUGGAAUUUGACCUCAUAGAUGUUACAACUUCAUCAGUCAUUUGACCUAAUUUGUGGUAGCUAUCUGUAUGUUUUGCAAUCUUAAUACAGAUACGCGUUCCAAAAAGAUUAAUAGAGAACCAUCCUGCUGUUUUGGAUAAGUCUGUCCAGCUGUGGGAAGGGCAACCUGUGGUUUCUCUGUACUGGUGUUUAAUGGGGGAAGAAUAUGAACAGCUUUAAAGAGCUGUGUAUUGUGGUUACUACUAUUAAGAAAUAAGAGCUGCACGAGUCUGACUGGCCCUUGGGUGGCCUUUGUGGAAGGCUCAUAGCUGGAAAGUGUUGAUCUGGGUUUUCUGGCAUUCUUUUAAGUUAAAAAGUUAACAUGGGGACGUGGGUUUGAUCUUUUGUUGUACCUGAUGACAGUGCAGAGAUUCUCCACAGCUGGAUAAAAAUGUCAGAAAGCUACUUACUGUACAUGGGCAGUAUCAGAUUUCAAAUCCUAAUAUUUCAGCUAUGCUUUUAAUACUCAAAAUAUAAGGGGAUGGGGUGUUGAAGCUUUCCC
rnacentral:lncRNA from 1 species